CGGGGCGUAGCGCAGCUGGCUAGCGCGCUUGGUUCGGGACCAAGAGGUCGUGGGUUCAAAUCCCGCCGCCCCGACCA
rnacentral:tRNA from 2 species